GGUGAACGCUAGCGGUGCGCCUAACACAUGCAAGUCGAGCGGUAGACUUUCUAGCUUGCUAGAAAGUUGAGAGCGGCGAACGGGUGAGUAACACGUUGGUAUCUGCCCCCAAGUCAGGGAUAGCCAUUGGAAACGAUGAUUAAUACCGGAUAGUCUCUUCGGAGUAAAAAUUUAUUGCUUGGGGAGGAACCUGCGGUCUAUCAGUUUGUUGGUGAGGUAAAAGCUCACCAAGACUAUGACGGAUACCUGGUCUGAGAGGAUGAUCAGGCACAAUGGAACUGAGACACGGUCCAUACUCCUACGGGAGGCAGCAGUGAGGAAUCUUCCACAAUGGACGAAAGUCUGAUGGAGCGACACCGCGUGAAGGAUGAAGGCCUAACGGUUGUAAACUUCUUUUCUGAAGGAGCAUAAUGAGAGUACUUCAGAAUAAGGACGGCUAAA
rnacentral:rRNA from 1 species